GUUGUGGUGGCUCAGUGGUCAAGGCUUUGAGUUAUAGACAAGAAGCUGGUGGGUUCAAGUCCCAGCACUGCCAUG